UCAUUUUUCAAUAAUCCAAAUUAAUUUUAUAUUGUAAAACUAAUCCAUUAAGAAAUGUGGAUUUAUUUUUAUUAUUAUAAACAAAUUUUGCUGCGUACGACUCCCGAAGGAACUUGAGAACUGAAAGAUGGAAGACGAGCUCAACGGCGUCGUUCCAUGUUCUUCCCUCGCCGUCGAAUCCACCAUUCGCGUCGGAACAGCCGGCGCUCUAUGGGGCUUGUGUAUGGGUCCGUACAAUUCUCGUAAAAAUGGCCUCAGAUGCGUCGCCCAUGC